AUUGAACGCUGGCGGAAUGCUUUACACAUGCAAGUCGAACGGCAGCACGGACUUCGGUCUGGUGGCGAGUGGCGAACGGGUGAGUAACAUAUCGGAACGUAUCCAAUAAUGGGGGAUAACGAGUCGAAAGAUUCGCUAAUACCGCGUACGCCCUACGGGGGAAAGCUGGGGACCUUCGGGCCUGGCGUUAAUGGAGCGGCCGAUAUCUGAUUAGCUAGUUGGUGAGGUAAAGGCUCACCAAGGCGACGAUCAGUAGCUGGUCUGAGAGGACGACCAGCCACACGGGAACUGAGACACGGUCCAGACUCCUACGGGAGGGAGCAGUGGGGAAUUUUGGACAAUGGGCGCAAGCCUGAUCCAGCCAUUCCGCGUGAGUGAAGAAGGCCUUCGGGUUGUAAAGCUCUUUCGCAAGGGAAGAAAACUUAGCCACUAACAUUGGUUGAGGUUGACGGUACCUUGAUAAGAAGCACCGGCUAACUACGUGCCAGCCGCCGCCGUAA
rnacentral:rRNA from 1 species